GUCUAUUUGAAGUGGUAAAUAGUCUGGCCUGCCCACUGAUUAGAAUAAUUUAAGGGCCGCGGUAUUUAAACUGUGCAAAGGUAGCAUAAUCAUUAGAUUUUUAAUUGAAAUCUUGUAUGAAUGGUUGGACAAAAGUAAAACUGUCUCUAUAUUAAUUUUGAAUUUAACUUUUAAGUGAAAAGGCUUAAAUAUAUUAGAGGGACGAUAAGACCCUGUAAAACUUUAUGUUGUAAUUUUAUUUAAUUAAAUUUGUAAAUAAAGAUUUAAUUUUAUUAUACAUUAUGUUGGGGAGACAAAGGUAAAAGAUUUUUUAACUGCCUUGAAUUUAAACAAAUAUUUAUGAAUUUUUAAGUGAUCCUUUAUAAAGAUUAAAAGAUUAAGUUACUUCAGGGAUAACAGCGUUAUUUUUUUUGAGAGUUCUUAUCGAAAAAAGAGUUUGCGACCUCGAUGUUGAAUUAAAAUAUCUCUGUGGUGCAGAAGUUACAAGAGAAGGUCUGUUCGACCUUUAAAUUUUUACAUGAUUUGAGUUCAAACCGGCGUGAG
rnacentral:rRNA from 1 species